GCAUUGGUGGUGUAGCGGUAACAUUGGGUCUUCCCACUUGUCAUUCGACUUGAGUGGCCUAGCUCCGGGUUCGACUCCCGGCCAAUGCA